rnacentral:rRNA from 1 species
UACAGAGGUCUCAAGCGUUGUUCGGAUUCAUUGGGCGUAAAGGGUGCGUAGGCGGCGCGGUAAGUCGGGUGUGAAAUCUCGGGGCUUAACUCCGAAACUGCAUUCGAUACUGCCGUGCUUGAGGACUGGAGAGGAGACUGGAAUUUACGGUGUAGCGGUGAAAUGCGUAGAUAUCGAGAGGAACACCUGCGGCGAAGGCGGGUUGCUGGGCUGACACUGACGCUGAAGUGCGAAAGCUAGGGGAGCGAACGGG